UCAAUACUCUCUUCGUCCGAAAAUACUUGUCAUCAAAAUGGAUAAAAAGGGAUGUAUCUAGAACUAAAAUACAUCUAGAUUCAUCUCAUUUUAUUUAUUUUGAUGACAAGUAUUUCCGGACGGAGGGAGUACAUU
rfam:Triticum aestivum genome assembly, contig: Triticum_aestivum_CS42_TGACv1_scaffold_094655_2AL